UUUUGUGGAGGGUUCGAUUCUGGCUCAGGAUGAACGCUGGCGGCGUGCUUAACACAUGCAAGUCGAACGGGAUCCAUCAGGCUUUGCUUGGUGGUGAGAGUGGCGAACGGGUGAGUAAUGCGUGACCGACCUGCCCCAUACACCGGAAUAGCUCCUGGAAACGGGUGGUAAUGCCGGAUGCUCCAGUUGAUCGCAUGGUCUUCUGGGAAAGCUUUCGCGGUAUGGGAUGGGGUCGCGUCCUAUCAGCUUGACGGCGGGGUAACGGCCCACCGUGGCUUCGACGGGUAGCCGGCCUGAGAGGGCGACCGGCCACAUUGGGACUGAGAUACGGCCCAGACUCCUACGGGAGGCAGCAGUGGGGAAUAUUGCACAAUGGGCGCAAGCCUGAUGCAGCGACGCCGCGUGAGGGAUGGAGGCCUUCGGGUUGUAAACCUCUUUUAUCGGGGAGCAAGCGAGAGUGAGUUUACCCGUUGAAUAAGCACCGGCUAACUACGUGCCAGCAGCCGCGGUAAUACGUAGGGUGCAAGCGUUAUCCGGAAUUAUUGGGCGUAAAGGGCUCGUAGGCGGUUCGUCGCGUCCGGUGUGAAAGUCCAUCGCUUAACGGUGGAUCCGCGCCGGGUACGGGCGGGCUUGAGUGCGGUAGGGGAGACUGGAAUUCCCGGUGUAACGGUGGAAUGUGUAGAUAUCGGGNNNNNUGGGGAGCGAACAGGAUUAGAUACCCUGGUAGUCCACGCCGUAAACGGUGGAUGCUGGAUGUGGGGCCCGUUCCACGGGUUCCGUGUCGGAGCUAACGCGUUAAGCAUCCCGCCUGGGGAGUACGGCCGCAAGGCUAAAACUCAAAGAAAUUGACGGGGGCCCGCACAAGCGGCGGAGCAUGCGGAUUAAUUCGAUGCAACGCGAAGAACCUUACCUGGGCUUGACAUGUUCCCGACGGUCGUAGAGAUACGGCUUCCCUUCGGGGCGGGUUCACAGGUGGUGCAUGGUCGUCGUCAGCUCGUGUCGUGAGAUGUUGGGUUAAGUCCCGCAACGAGCGCAACCCUCGCCCCGUGUUGCCAGCGGAUUAUGCCGGGAACUCACGGGGGACCGCCGGGGUUAACUCGGAGGAAGGUGGGGAUGACGUCAGAUCAUCAUGCCCCUUACGUCCAGGGCUUCACGCAUGCUACAAUGGCCGGUACAACGGGAUGCGACGCGGCGACGCGGAGCGGAUCCCUGAAAACCGGUCUCAGUUCGGAUCGCAGUCUGCAACUCGACUGCGUGAAGGCGGAGUCGCUAGUAAUCGCGAAUCAGCAACGUCGCGGUGAAUGCGUUCCCGGGCCUUGUACACACCGCCCGUCAAGUCAUGAAAGUGGGCAGCACCCGAAGCCGGUGGCCUAACCCCUUGUGGGAUGGAGCCGUCUAAGGUGAGGCUCGUGAUUGGGACUAAGUCGUAACAAGGUAGCCGUACCGGAAGGUGCGGCUGGAUCACCUCCUUUCUACGGAG
rnacentral:rRNA from 1 species